CAGUAGCCACGGGAACACAGAGGGUGCGAGCGUUAAUCGGAUUUACUGGGCGUAAAGCGUGCGUAGGCGGCUUCUUAAGUCGGAUGUGAAAUCCCUGAGCUUAACUUAGGAAUUGCAUUCGAUACUGGGAAGCUAGAGUAUGGGAGAGGAUGGUAGAAUUCCAGGUGUAGCGGUGAAAUGCGUAGAGAUCUGGAGGAAUACCGAUGGCGAAGGCAGCCAUCUGGCCUAAUACUGACGCUGAGGUACGAAAGCAUGGGGAGCAAACAGGAUUAGAUACCCCUGUAGUCCCUGUCUCUUAUAA
rnacentral:rRNA from 1 species